ensembl:lncRNA
CCUUGCCCCAACCUCCGCUUUCUCCCUGCCCUCAGAUUCUCUUGCUCCAGGUUUGGUGGGCUGAUUACCACAGUUCUCACCUUUCUCUACCUGUUGGAGUGGAGGGGUCAGUGAAUCCAUGCUUCCGUAUUCUAAACUACUGUGUUUACAAAACUGGGUAGUGAUGAUACUUCUCCAUUGUUACACCAGUGACUGAUGGGUAUCGUAGACACAUCAACAAGGUAUCACACUGGUCCAUUACAUUGAUGAUAUUGUGCUGAUUGGGCCAAGUGAGCAGGAGGCAGCAACCACUCUGGAUUUGUUAGUAAAGCAUUUGAGAGCCAGAGGAUGAGAAAUAAAUUCAAUGAAAAUUCAAGAUCCUUCUACCUCAGUGGAAUUUCUAGGAGUCCAGUGGUGUGAGGCAUGUAGAGAUAUCCCUUCUAAGGUAAAAGAUUUCAAAUAUAGCAAUGCAGUCCUGAUGAAACCACAUGGCAGAAAGCUGCAUUUGAA